AACGGAGAGGACAAGUGUUAUUCGUAUUGACUGGGUGUAAAGGGUACGUAGGUGGUUGUUUAAGUUAAGAAUGGAUUUUAUAAAUUCUUAAUACUAUACGGCUAGAGUUAUAGGGAGGAAUGCGGUACUCUUGGUCUAGAAGUGACAUUCGUUUAAAAUCAGGAGGACCAACAAUAGGCGACGGCUGCAUUCCAUUUGUAUACUGACACUGAGGUACGAAAGCGUGGGGAGCGAACGGG
rnacentral:rRNA from 1 species